rnacentral:rRNA from 1 species
GACGAACGCUGGCGGCGUGCUUAACACAUGCAAGUCGAACGAAGUGGCGAACGGGUGAGUAACGCGUAAUCAACCUGCCCUUCAGAGGGGGACAACAGUUGGAAACGACUGCUAAUACCGCAUACUGAAGGAGGGGAUUGCUUCUGAUUAGCUAGUUGGGGGGGGAACGGCCCACCAAGGCGAUGAUCAGUAGCCGGGCGGAGAGGAGGAACGGCCACAUUGGGACUUAGACACGGCCCAGACUCCUACGGGAGGCAGCAGUGGGGAAUCUGCCGAAAUGGGGGGAACCCUGACCGAGCAACGCCGCGUGAGUGAAGAAGGUUUUCGGAUCGUAAAGCUCUGUUGUUAAGGAAGCGGUACUUAACCAGAAAGGGACGGCUAACUACGUGCCAGCAGCCGCGGUAAUAC